UCCCGCAAGGGAUUAGUAGAGUGGCAAACGGGUGAGUAACACGUGGGUGACCUGCCUUCGAGUGGGGGAUAACGUCCCGAAAGGGACGCUAAUACCGCAUGACAUCCUGUCUUUGGAAAGACGGAGAUCAAAGCUGGGGAUCGCAAGACCUGGCGCUUGAAGAGGGGCCCGCGCCUGAUUAGCUAGUUGGUAGGGUAACGGCCUACCAAGGCGACGAUCAGUAUCCGGCCUGAGAGGGCGGACGGACACACUGGGACUGAGACACGGCCCAGACUCCUACGGGAGGCAGCAGUGGGGAAUUGUUCGCAAUGGGCGAAAGCCUGACGACGCAACGCCGCGUGGAGGACGAAGAUCUUCGGGUCGUAAACUCCUGUCGAGUGGGAAGAACACCUCCGGGGUGAAUAAUCCGGGAGGCUGACGGUACCACUAAAGGAAGCCCCGGCUAACUCCGUGCCAGCAGCCGCGGUAAUACGGGGGGGGCAAGCGUUGUUCGGAAUUACUGGGCGUAAAGGGCUCGUAGGCGGCCAACUAAGUCAGACGUGAAAUCCCCAGGCUCAACCUGGGAACUGCGUCUGAUACUGGAUGGCUUGAAUUCGGGAGAGGGAUGCAGAAUUCCAGGUGUAGCGGUGAAAUGCGUAGAUAUCUGGAGGAAUACCGGGUGGCGAAGGCGGCAUCCUGGACCGACAUUGACGCUGAUGAGCGAAAGCUAGGGGAGCAAACGGGAUUAGAUACCCCGGUAUUCCUAGCCCUAAACGAUGAAUGCUUG
rnacentral:rRNA from 1 species